rnacentral:lncRNA from 1 species
UCCAGGUUAUUGACAGUUUUGUUUUCUUCAUAAUACUAUUGGAAGAAAACCUGAAAUUCUCAUGGCAUUCUCAAGGAUCUGAAGUUGAUACUUGUGGAAGAAACUCUUGAACACAAACAUAGUAUAAAUUCAUAAUUAGGCUGCCGUAAAGUCAUCAUCAACCUGCUGUACAAUGACCAACACAAGAUGAACUAAUCACAUACUAAACAUUUCAUCGUCAUGAAGCUUUAAAUACAGUGGCUUCAGUUGAAAUUUACAGUCAUCUCACUACGAAUAAAGAGUAACUUUUAAAGUGUAUCACAUAUUCAGCUUUGAUGAAUUUUACAGUGUUUCAUUUUAUUAAAAUUCCAGUCAGUAAUAACCAGAUCACAACAAAGAUACUGGAACUUCAGUAAAAAUAAGGAGAAACAACCAGUAAUAAUGUGUGCUUUAUGAUCAGAUAAGAACGAGAAAGAGGAUGGAGGAAGAAGGGGACAGAAUAGCUACACAAUCAGGAAACUACAGUCACACCAAGAAGACAAACUGUAGGUCAGUACUCUCACAAUAUCCUUCAAAUAGUUCUUCCAGUAAAAAGUGUAGCACUAUAAAUUCAGGUAACUGUAUAGUGUAAAAUCCAUCACUGUAAAAUACAAAAAUCACAACCUUUAGGCUACUACUAUAAAUUACAGAAGUUACAGGGUAGUGUAAAUUCAAACAUAAGGUCGCUGUAAAUUCAAACAAUCAAAAAAAUUAUAGUGCGGUAAAUUAUAGAAGCUAUAGGACAGUAAAUCCUUCAUCAGGUUAGUCAUCAAUUAACUAUAAUUUACUACGAAUACAAACAAAAAAGUAGACUUCUAUGAAUACUACAGUACUGUAAAAUCCGAAGGUUGAGGUUGGUCGUGGCGCCCAUGCAUUGCAUCAGAAAAAAAAAAUCACACGCCCUUAUGGUUGUCCGGAUCUUCUACUUGAAGACGGCUAAUCAUUACGCCGUCAUCCCGACCUCUUCCUUGCUUCCCUCAUUGUUUGAUAAUCUAUCCAGCCCUUUUCUAAUGGACCACUUGGCCUGCUGUUUACAAAGCACAUAUCAGCACACUGUAACACUGCCAGUAGUAUUCAUACAUGGAAAGCCCACACAACGUUCAAUCCUUCUUUACCGGGUCUUUCUCUUAUUGCCACGUUGUAACCACACCCCUUAACCCUCUGCACAACUGUCAUUCCUUCUUCACCGGGUCUAUCAUUUGCCAUGUUAUACGCACACCUCACCCUCCUGCUAUUCUAUAUCUGUAAGCAUCUUGUUGAUCCGCUAAGCAUCUUGUUUCAGUAGAUAAGUCGAGUUGUAUAGCCGUCUAACUCAUAUUAUCAUUGGUGCUUCCUGAACCACAUAAGAAUUGGACUCUUAUGAUCCUGAAUAAUGAACUGAAUCUAUAAAAAAAUGCUCAACAUUAAGAAUAUUUAAUUUAAAAAAUCAGGACCUGAACGAUUAUAUGCAUAAGCCUGAUGGUUGCAUAUAAUACAAAGAUUGUUGAACCGGUGAUUGCUAAGAGGUCAAUUUCAUGCAUCAAAUAUAAACUGUAGUAGAAUUUGAUAAUUCUAAGCUUGAAAGGAAACCUGGGUACAAAAAUGGUCUAUUUGGUGUCGCCUUCUAGGAAAUCUACCCUGUUCUGAAGGCUCGUGUAGAUGAAUUAUUUUCUAUGUGGAAAGAUAUACUUGUACACGCUGCGCCUUCGCGCGCUAAUAGCGGCUAAGAAGCAUGAUCACCUAGAGCGCCAUCACUGGAUUUAACCAGAACAAAAGGCAAACAAUUUUAUACAUGAAUAUCUAUAUGACUGCAGUCAGAACUAAAAGUACCCGAUUUUAAAUAUGGGUUGGGUGGCCUGCUGGAGUGCAGUACUUGAGAGACUAUGCUAGUGUAGUAAACAUAAAUUUGGCCGGUCAGCUUCUAUAGGGAAUGCAAAACACUUAUGAAAUAAGAAACAGAGAACAUCUAAGCAGAAAUAAGGUACAUGUUUGCUUACGAAUAGUACUAACAUGAUAUAUUUUCUGCCCGCCGGUAAGUUAUCAAGCAAGAUCAUCAAAUGUUUCUUUGUAGAUCACAUUGUGAGUAUUGCCAACAGUUUCCAGGAGAGUUAUUUUCAGUCAAAGCUGGAAGAUGAAGACUGACUAAGAAAUACUCACAUCAGUCAAAAUAAAAAUCCUGGGCUGAAAAUUUGAGAUGUACAUAACUACUACAAUGUAGCAACGAACCCAUACACUUUUUUCAUUAUCCCUGCUGCCUUUUGACACUCAAGCGGACAUUUGUAUUGGCGACUAUAAGAAAACUGGAAAAUAUAUUAGAUAGAGCGGGCGGUGAGGUCCUAGGUGGGGGGAGUGGGGGAGGCGGCGGGGUGGCACUCGGUAGGCAGAGCGACCGACGGCGGUGUGAUCGCAUGCGAAAUCAUAGUCAGAACUUUGCAUUUGAAGGUACACACUCAGAGAAAUUUUUUUUGCUCAGUGCCAAAAGUAUCAAAUGCCUAAAACUGAAAAUCACAUCCUGAACUGAGCAUUUUAUUGAGAAUCGGCAAAAUAAGUUAAAGACAACAGUACGAGAACAGGUGAACGGUGAUCUGAUUUCAACACAAAAUACUCAUGAAGAAAUAAAAUGGGUGGACAGUGGUUUGGUUUCUAAGCAUAAAACUGAUCAUGUUUAUGCCACACAUUAAGCACAUAAUGUGUGCGUAUUUGGAGCCUGAAACAUCUACCAACUAAAACUACUCCCAAAAGCAAUCUUCAAGUUCAAUCUUAAGACGUAACACAUAAAGCUACAGACUACAAUUUUGAUGCACAGAUUUAGCUCACUCAAUCCAGUUUAGAGAGUACCCACACCCAAUUCUGGAAAAAAUAAUGCGAGGCCCAAUCCUCCGCUGCAUCAAGCAUCAAGCAUCAACCAUCAUGAGAUUGAUUCCUUAAUUGAUCUGAAAACAGUUGCUUGGAUUAAUGUACUGUUACAACUUGAUGUCAGAGGAAAGGAGGGAUAAAACCUUGAGGAGCUACAUGUCCAUGGCGUCCUUGACAUCUCCUUGAAGAAUCCCUUGACAACAGCGACCGUGAUGGAUGGGGAACUCCCAUGGCGUGCCCCAACUGCAUCUCCAGCAGAGAAUAUGAAGAGAAGGUGAGGUGUAUGGGCAGCGAAUCUCGCCCAAGAAGGAAGGAAGGACGAACCUGGGACCACCGGAGACACGCCGGCGAAGCCAUGCCCGAAACCCUAGCCAUGGGUGUGUGGUUGUGAGCAGGCUGUAGAGGCCGGGAGCAGAGAGUCUGGGUGGAGGGGAGGGAGGCGCGGACCGUCGGCAGCUUGGGGCGUGCCGCGCUGCGCCGGAGGCGCCGGAAGCAGCCGGCAUGGGCGGCGGCGGCGGCGAUGACUUCAUAGGCGAGAGGGAGAGGAGGCGAGCUCGUGUGCUCUGUGUGUGGUUGUGUUUCCUUUUUUCUUUACAGAACUGCUUGGACCGCGCGUUGAAUAGUCCAAACGACAGGGGGUUUUACGCAAAAAUGAAUCGUUUUUCCUGAGUACCACUUAAACAAGGACCGCGGGUUGAUUUCAAAGAAACAGCGGGGUUUUUUCGCAAAAACACCAGCGACGUACGACCAGAAGCGAUGCAUGGUUUAUUAGUACUAGUACAAAUGCCCGUGCGUUGCAACGGGCAUGGAAUCUUGCAAAAUCUACUCAAUGUGUCAAUAGGUACAACUUUUGGGUUGGAAUCAUUGUGACUUAUUGAAGUUAUCACGCUGGUAGGCUCGAAAAUAAAACAUGGGCAACUUUAUUCGCCGAACGUCGCACCCAGCAAACCUUGGACUCCAUGAAGUCCUGAAGUUCUUUAUCAUUACGCACCAUUUCUUAUAUUCCGUUCUAAUAAACAUGAUUAUUGUUUCUCGGCUGAAUACUGGUCGUUAAGAAGCCACCUCGACAUUCUUCGGCUAAUUGAAGAAUAAUUCAUGGAAUAGUCUCUAAAUCUUUUUCUUUUCUUUUCGGCAAACAUGAACUUUUUUAAUAAAACAAAAUGGUUUAUAAAAAAAAGCAUUUUUCUGAACAUUUCUAAAAGCAUUUUUUAAAUGUAACAACUCUUGGGAAUUUUGACCAGUUUUUAAAAAGUGUGAAUAUAUACAUAUAACUGUGUGCUUAUUAUAAAACAAUUUUUACUAUGUUGGGUAUUUUCAGAUAUAUACGUUUGUUGUACUUUUCAUUUUUAUUUUAUGUUAAAAUGAUUUGUGAUUACAAAAUGGUUCUAAAAUUGCAAAAAACAUUGUUCGUUUUGACUUCUCAAAAACAGUUAUUUAAUUCAAAAAACGUCCAUGAUUUCAAAAAAUAUGAACAAUUUUUUAUUUUUUGGAAAAAAUUAUAAGCAUUCUUUAAUAAUGAUGAACGUUUUUUAAACUUGAAUAAAAACUUUUAAUUCGGUAAAAAAUGAAUUUUUUGAACAUUUUUCGAAAAUGAUGAACACAAUUUUAAUUUAAUGAAUUUUUUUGAGGUCGGUGAACAAAUUUUGAUGAACGUUUUUUAAAUCCGAUGAAAAAAUUGAAUUCGAUUAACCCUUUUUUUACAUCGAUGAACAUUUUUUGAAAUUCGAUGAACAAAAAAAUCUUUGCGAAUUUGAAAAGAAAUUUCACAAAAAAAGUGAAAAAUAAAGAUGAGAAAAGAAGAGAGAAAAAGGAAAAUAGAAAAGAAAAUGAAAGGAAAAAAGAAAGAAAAAGAAAAUACAAAUAAAAAAACAAAAAAUGGGCUUGCGCAUGAGAACGCCCAGCGCGCGGAAGCGCCGUAUAGGCUUCCCCCAUAGAGAACACUUUGGUAUUAAAAAAAAAGAGUGUCUAUAUUAAAAUCGACUGAAAUUGAAUUGGCCUUCAAUCAAAUAUACCAACCAGUAAAAAUCUGACACCAACUGAAAAAAAACUUGACUGAAAAUAAAGGGGCAUUCAACCAAUUUUUUCAGGCAUUACAAACAUGGCACGUGUAUGACCUAUGCGCUCUAUGAUCCAUGAGCAAGCAAUGAAGGGGCCCAAAAAGCAACACUGCCAGGACAGUACUCUCACGAGCUUCUCCAGGUUAUUGACAGUUUUGUUUUCUUCAUAAUACUAUUGGAAGAAAACCUGAAAUUCUCAUGGCAUUCUCAAGGAUCUGAAGUUGAUACUUGUGGAAGAAACUCCUGAACACAAACAUAGUAUAAAUUCAUAAUUAGGCUGCUGUAAAGUCAUCAUCAACCUGCUGUACAAUGACCAACACAAGAUGAACUAAUCACAUACUAAACAUUUCGUCGUCAUGAAGCUUUAAAUACAGUGGCUUCAGUUGAAAUUUACAGUCAUCUCACUACGAAUAAAGAGUAACUUUUAAAGUGUAUCACAUAUUCAGCUUUGAUGAAUUUUACAGUGUUUCAUUUUACUAAAAUUCCAGUCAGUAACAACCAGAUCACAACAAAGAUACUGGAACUUCAGUAAAAAUAAGGAGAAACAACCAGUAACAAUGUGUGCUUUAUGAUCAGAUAAGAACGAGAAAGAGGAUGGAGGAAGAAGGGGACAGAAUAGCUACACAAUCAGGAAACUACAGUCACACCAAGAAGACAAACUGUAGGUCAGUACUCUCACAAUAUCCUUCAAAUAGUUCUUCCAGUAAAAAGUGUAGCACUAUAAAUUCAGGUAACUGUAUAGUGUAAAAUCUAUCACUGUAAAAUACAAAAAUCACAACCUUUAGGCUACUACUAUAAAUUACAGAAGUUACAGGGUAGUGUAAAUUCAAACAUAAGGUCGCUGUAAAUUCA